CCACCUGAAAGAGCUGGACCUGAGCUACAAUCACCCAGGAGACUCUGCAGGGGGACUGCUUUCAGCUGCUCUGGUGGAUCCCACAGAUAAACUGAUGAAGCUGAUUGUGGAUCAUGGUGGAGAGUUCAGGCUGAAAUCAGGGCUGAGGAAAUAUGCCUGUCAUCUCACCCUGGACCCAAAUACAGCAAACCCACACCUGAUACUGUCUGAGGGGAACAGGAAGGUGACAU